rnacentral:rRNA from 1 species
UACGUAGGUGGCAAGCGUUGUCCGGAAUUAUUGGGCGUAAAGCGCGCGCAGGCGGUUUCUUAAGUCUGAUGUGAAAGCCCACGGCUUAACCGUGGAAGGUCAUUGGAAACUGGGAGACUUGAGUGCAGAAGAGAAGAGCGGGAUUCCACGUGUAGCGGUGAAAUGCGUAGAGAUCCGGAGGAACACCAGUGGCGAAGGCGACACGCUGGGCCGUACCUGACACUGAUGCGCGACAGCAUGGGGAGCAAACAGG